CUAUCACUCCUACGGGAGGCAGCAGUGGGGAAUAUUGCACAAUGGGCGCAAGCCUGAUGCAGCCAUGCCGCGUGUGUGAAGAAGGCCUUCGGGUUGUAAAGCACUUUCAGUCGUGAGGAAGGUAGUGUAGUUAACACCUGCAUUAUUUGACGUUACCUACAGAAGAAGCACCGGCUAACUCCGUGCCAGCAGCCGCGGUAAUACGGAGGAUCCAAGCGUUAUCCGGAAUCAUUGGGUUUAAAGGGUCCGUAGGCGGUUUUAUAAGUCAGUGGUGAAAUCCGGCAGCUCAACUGUCGAACUGCCAUUGAUACUGUAGAACUUGAAUUAUUGUGAAGUAACUAGAAUAUGUAGUGUAGCGGUGAAAUGCUUAGAGAUUACAUGGAAUACCAAUUGCGAAGGCAGGUUACUAACAAUAUAUUGACGCUGAUGGACGAAAGCGUGGGUAGCGAACAGGAUUAGAUACCCUGGUAG
rnacentral:rRNA from 1 species